rnacentral:rRNA from 1 species
CAUAGGUUAAUGAGGCGAACCGGGGGAACUGAAACAUCUAAGUACCCCGAGGAAAAGAAAUCAACCGAGAUUCCCCCAGUAGCGGCGAGCGAACGGGGAGGAGCCCAGAGCCUGAAUCAGUGUGUGUGUUAGUGGAAGCGUCUGGAAAGGCGCGCGAUACAGGGUGACAGCCCCGUACACAAAAAUGCACAUACUGUGAGCUCGAUGAGUAGGGCGGGACACGUGGUAUCCUGUCUGAAUAUGGGGGGACCAUCCUCCAAGGCUAAAUACUCCUGACUGACCGAUAGUGAACCAGUACCGUGAGGGAAAGGCGAAAAGAACCCCGGCGAGGGGAGUGAAAAAGAACCUGAAACCGUGUACGUACAAGCAGUGGGAGCCUCUUUAUGGGGUGACUGCGUACC